UACGUAGGGUGCGAGCGUUGUCCGGAAUUAUUGGGCGUAAAGAGCUCGUAGGCGGUGCGUCGCGUCGGCCGUGAAAACCUGGGGCUCAACUCUGGGCGUGCGGUCGAUACGGGCAUCACUUGAGUUCGGCAGGGGAGACUGGAAUUCCUGGUGUAGCGGUGAAAUGCGCAGAUAUCAGGAGGAACACCGGUGGCGAAGGCGGGUCUCUGGGCCGAUACUGACGCUGAGGAGCGAAAGCAUGGGUAGCGAACAGG
rnacentral:rRNA from 1 species